rnacentral:rRNA from 1 species
UGUUGCGGUUAAAAAGCUCGUAGUUGGAUCUCGGCGGGCAGGGGGUGGUUCGCUCUUCAGCGCUACUGCCCCGCUUUGCCCGUGUGAUUGGCGGAGGUUUCGGGGUGCUCUUCGUUGAGUGACUCGGAGCGCCGUCAGGUUUACUUUGAAAAAAUUAGAGUGCUCAAAGCAGGCUUUUCACGCUUGAAUAUUCGUGCAUGGAAUAAUGGAAUAGGAACUCGUUUCUAUUUUGUUGGUUUUCGGAAAUCGAGUUAAUGAUUAACAGGGACAAUUGGGGGCAUUAGUAUUCAGACGACAGAGGUGAAAUUCUUGGACCGUCUGAAGACUGACUACUGCGAAAGCAUUUGCCAAGAGUGUUUUCAUUAAUCAAGAACGAAAGUUAGAGGUUCGAAGGCGAUCAGAUACCGCCCUAGUUCUAACCAUAAACGAUGCCAGCUAGCGAUCUGCCGAGUUUUUUUUGUAGGCUCCGCAGGAAGCUUUCGGGAAACCAAAGCUUUUGGGUUCCGGGGGAAGUAUGGUUGCAAAGCUGAAACUUAAAGGAAUUGACGGAAGGGCACCACCAGGAGUGGAGCCUGCGGCUUAAUUUGACUCAACACGGGAAAUCUCACCAGGCCCGGACACUGGAAGGAUUGACAGAUUGAGAGCUCUUUCUCGAUUCGGUGGGUGGUGGUGCAUGGCCGUUCUUAGUUGGUGGAGUGAUUUGUCUGGUUAAUUCCGAUAACGAACGAGACUCUGUCCUGCUAAAUAGUUGGGUCGUCCUUCGUGCGAUCCAAGUUCUUCCUUAAAGGGACUGGCUGCGUCUAGCACCACGAGAU